rnacentral:lncRNA from 1 species
UGCGUCAGACUCCCGAGUAGCUGGGACUACAGGCGCCCGCCAUGAUGCCCGGCUAAUUUUUUGUAUUUUUAGCAGAGACGGGGUUUCACCCUGUUAGCCAGGAUGGUCUCAUCUCCUGACCUCGUGAUCCGCCCGCCUAGGCCUCCCAAAGUGCUGGGAUUACAGGCGUGAGCCACCGCGCCCGGCCUAAUAAAGGACAAUUUUUAAUAGCCACUGGACUAUUUAAGUGAUCUCUUCUGUCAGUUUCUUUUACCAUCAGAGGACACAGCAGCAAGGUGCCAUCCUAGAAGCAGAGAGCAGACCCUUACCAGACAACCAACCAGCUGGUGCCAUGAUCUUGGACUUCUCGGCCUCCAGAACUUUGAUUAAUUGGAUCCUCCACCUUGCAUAUAUACAUCUUGCAUAUAUAUACACGGGCUCAAUUAUUAGAUUUGUCAGGAUAAUCAAAUAAAAAUACCAGGCACUUAAACACGCAGCAUGAGGAAAAUGGAACAACAAUCUUGAGGUGCCUUCUGAAUCAUCAGAUUAAAUUAUGCUUCGGUCUUGCACUGCUGCCUAGGCUAGAGUGCAGUGGUGCAAUCAGGGCUCACUGCAGCCUCACUCAACUUCCCAGUCUCAAGCCAUCCUCCUACCUCAGCCUCUGUUCCACUAAUCUACUUGUCAAUUUUUCCAGCAACACCACACCCUCCUGAUCACCAUAGCUUUAUGCAACAACAAGAAACAAAUUUAUUAGCUAACCUAACCACUAAUGACGCAAGAGACAAUUCUAAGGACUUUCAAAACAGCAAAGUAGGAGCAGCUGCUACCUCUAGGGAUGAGGGAUGCAAUUGUCCAAUUAUUGGUGAAAUUGUCAUUUCAUGCUAUUGGCUAUUUGAAAUUCCUCCUCUAAUUUCAGAAUAAAUCACUGAAAUUGACAUCGGCCAGUCUGAAUUUCAAGAAAUUACCUGCUGAAGACAAGAGGGAUCUCUUCUUCAGAUUUGCAGUCUGGGGAAGACACAGCCUCUACUGUACUUUAGAACCUGAGAUAUGGUGGUGGAGGGAGCCCUGGGUCGAGUGGUAAGAUUCACCCUUAGGUUAGUAUUGACGUAAGGUGACGAGGAGCUGUAGACAAAAGAUUGUAACCAUAAGAACUUCAUAGUUUUUGUAUUUUCACCGAGCUUAUAUUUGGUGUGUUUUUUGUCUUUUCUUUAUGAUUAUCAAUAAAAUGCUUGAAAGGA